rnacentral:lncRNA from 1 species
AGAAUUAAAGCCUACAAAAGAACAUAUUUCCAAUAUUUCAUUAUAGAAAAUAAUGACUUGAUUAAUGUGUGGCUUUUUAAGCCAAUCAAGGAGAGCACCAAACACUGCAAGAGUAAAAGGGAUGGGAUCCUUAUUCCUCCUCUGCUGCCCUCUUAGUAAUCGCAAGGGAUCAACGUGUUCCAUGUGAUCAAAGAAAGGUGAAACUUCUGUGACAACAAGAUGAAAACAGGUUUGCACUGCAUCCUGUGGGAUAUUAGAAUGAGCUGCCAAGAAGCUAGAAGACAGGUCUUUCUAGACAAAAUAUCUAGACCAUGGAGCAUAUGGCAGCCUCCAAGGAAGACAACAUGUCUCAGUCUGCUGGAGAACUCUUCCCUUGCAGGCGACUUCUUUGGGAGAUGAAGGGAGAUGCCAGGGAUUUGGAUAACGUUCACUCAUCUCAGUCUUGGGGAAAAAUCUAGAUGGGCUGAUACGUGUUUGAGAUCUGGCCUCCCUCAGAGCUGUAUGCUGUAUUUUAAAAGCUGCAUUAUAUUGACGUUCAAACACUUAGAUCUCAAAAGGACAUUGUGGAUGACCUCCAGGGGGACCGAACUCAUCAGAAAUCAGAUAUUAAAGGGCCGCUUCACCACUCCUGUCCCAUGUGAGAAAUGCAGGCAGAAAAUAAUUUUCCACGUAUCCGGACACACUUGUUCUUCAUCCAGAUGUCUUUCAUUACCAAGAUAAUUCUCUGAACAUGUGCAACAGUGCCUGGAAAUGCAACCUGAAAUUGGAAGAAAAUAUCAAGUUUUUAAAAGAUAUUUUUAUUUUAUUUUAUGAGUUUUUAAUGAACUGUACUGUGCUUGACAACAAAUGAAUACAGAGACUUUUAUCAGCUAUUUACCUAGCAUAUGUUUGCACAUUUAGCUUUCACAUUAGAGUCAUGCUUCCUAAUAGAUAGGUACAGAACUGUAACUGAACAGAAAUCCACUUUCAGGAUGUCCUUUUAAACACUCUCACUGUCCUUAGGUACACUGAACUUUUAAAGUAAAAUAAAAUAAAAAAGAUGAUCAGUAGCAGCACCAUCUCUAAGAUAGGAAUAGAGACUUUAAUAGCACUAAUUAUGUGCACGUAAACUGACAAAAUAUCCUGCUAAAUGAACGUGUAGGUGUCCACCUUAGAGUGUGAGCAGUUAAUUGCCUUCAUCACAGUUGGAGUAAUUGCACAGAUAUAUUUGUGUAUGGGUGUAAGGGUAUGUUUCACGCAUAAUAAUUGAAUCGACAUCUCUUACUUAUUUGCUUUCAG